GCAAGUUUUGCCCCAGCCACGCUGAGACUUGGAGAGGAUGGGCAAAAAGAAAAUACCAGCAAAAAGGAGGGUACGGGUAAUGAGCAAUCUGGUCCAGGCCAGGUCAGAAUGACUCAUUGCGACCUCAUUGGAGAGAGACAUCGUGACAGCCUAUCUUCACCAUCGGGCCAGCAGGAGCUCUUUCCUGGGAGCGGCGUGUUGAAUGAAUCACGCAUCAAAACCACAUUGCAUGCGUCUGUUUCAUGCACUUUUUGAUCAUUUCUUCACUGUUGAGGAGUGUCAAAAUGCAGUCCCCUUUGGUCGCCCUGGUAACAACCCCUCAGGAAAGGAAGGAAAGCGGGUCCUUGACCGUAAAAAAGUCGACGAAA